rnacentral:lncRNA from 1 species
AAGAAAGACAGGAUAUGGGGAAGGAAGGAGGAAGGGAAAGAUGGGGGAGAGAUACUAUUCUGACAUAUUCCUAAGCAAGGGGGGAAUUGUGCUUUCUCAUAAGAUGGGUAGGAACAGGGUUCUAGAAAAUGCUUGCAAUGCAGUUCAUUUGGUCAUCCAUUCUCCAGCUUUCUGGGUGGUUGUGACUCAAAUCAUGUGUGUGCUGCUGUUUCUAGCUGUAUUUAACAAGUGACCACAGGACCCUUCUGAAGUCUUCUGUGAAGUCCUGGCUCCAGGAGGUGACUCUGACAGAUACGGUCACCCAUCUGAACUGGUGGCAGGCUGCCUUCCUCAACCCCCAGCUGCGCUUGGAAUAUGAAGGCUUCCCAGUCAGGGCAAAUGAAAAGAUUGUCAUCUAUCAUCGUCACAAGGAAGCUGAGGUUGCCGCUCACACACAUUUUGAUCCACACAGAGUUGAAAAACCCAAGAACCACUGGAUGCUGGUUACUGGAAAUCCCAGAAAUAAGUCCAACACCAUGCUAGACAUCUCUAAACCUAUUGCAGUGGAUACCCGGGCCGUGGAGCAGGCCAUGGGCAUCAAUACAUAGUGACGUACCAGGCAUUCGUGUGGCUCUUGUCAGCUGCAGGUCUUAAAAGAAAGGAACAAUCUUCUUGGUUGUACCCCAAGCAGUUUUACAGUAGGUGAAGAAUUCCAUGAAUACAUCAUUAAAAGACAUACCACAUUAAAAUUACUAAAUUGAUGUUGGGAGCCUGGCUCUGGGGAGCAAAUAGUGUUUGAAAAUGAAUUGUAUUUGAGAUUAAGUCAGCUUUUGUUGAUAUCCCAAUUGUGAAGAACUUAGUGCCCCCCUUCAGAGCCCCUUGCCUACAGGACCAACGAGGCCUGUGCUCCUUUCCAAAACUGGGUUUAUGCAAUAAAGAGGUCAGAAGUU